AGAGUUUGAUUAUGGCUCAGAACGAACGCUGGCGGCGUGGAUAAGACAUGCAAGUCGAACGGGAACACGUUUGUAGCAAUACAAAUUUGUUUUAGUGGCGAACGGGUGCGUAACACGUGAGCAAUCUGCCGAGAAGUGGGGGAUAGCUCGCCGAAAGGCGAAUUAAUACCGCAUGUGGCUAGAGGUGACAUCACCUUCAAGCUAAAGUAGCAAUACGCUUCUUGAUGAGCUCGCGGCCUAUCAGCUAGUUGGUAAGGUAACGGCUUACCAAGGCUAUGACGGGUAGCUGGUCUGAGAGGACGACCAGCCACACUGGAACUGAGACACGGUCCAGACGCCUACGGGUAGCAGCAGUCGAGAAUUUUUCACAAUGGGGGAAACCCUGAUGGAGCGACGCCGCGUGGAGGAUGAAGGCCCUUGGGUCGUAAACUCCUGUCAUGCGGGAACAAGAAAGUGAUAGUACCGCAAGAGGAAGAGACGGCUAACUCUGUGCCAGCAGCCGCGGUAAUACAGAGGUCUCGAGCGUUGUUCGGAUUCAUUGGGCGUAAAGGGUGCGUAGGUGGCGAUGUAAGUCUGGUGUGAAAUCUCGGGGCUCAACCUCGAAAUUGCAUCGGAUACUGCGUUGCUAGAGGAUUGUAGAGGAGAGUGGAAUUCACGGUGUAGCAGUGAAAUGCGUAGAUAUCGUGAGGAAGACCAGUUGCGAAGGCGACUCUCUGGGCAAUUCCUGACACUGAGGCACGAAGGCUAGGGGAGCAAACGGGAUUAGAUACCCCGGUAGUCCUAGCAGUAAACGGUGCACGUUUGGUGUGGGCAGGUUCAGACCCUGUCCGUGCCGGAGCUAACGCGUUAACGUGCCGCCUGGGAAGUACGGUCGCAAGAUUAAA
rnacentral:rRNA from 1 species